rnacentral:tRNA from 1 species
UCCCUGGAGGAGUAGUGGUUAGGCAUUGGCGCGCUCACCGCCACAGCCUGGGUUCGAUUCCCGGCCAGGGAA